rnacentral:rRNA from 1 species
CGUGUAGGCGGUUGAGUAAGUCAGAUGUGAAAGCCUUCCGCUUAACGGAAGAAGUGCAUUUGAAACUGCUCGGCUGGAGUACGGGAGAGGAGAGUGGAAUUCCCGGUGUAGAGGUGAAAUUCGUAGAUAUCGGGAGGAACACCAGUGGCGAAGGCGGCUCUCUGGUCCGAUACUGACGCUGAGACGCGAAAGCGUGGGGAGCAAACAGGAUUAGAUACCCUGGUAGUCCACGCCGUAAACGAUGGGCACUAGGUGUAGGAGGUAUUGACCCCUUCUGUGCCGAAGCUAACGCAUUAAGUGCCCCGCCUGGGGAGUACGGCCGCAAGGCUAAA